rnacentral:lncRNA from 1 species
UCCUUGGCCACUUCCCUUGUAGAGAUAGACGAUCUGAGUUUUGGGUCGAUUGUUUGCCUGAUCCAUCCUACAAAUAAGUGAUUAUUUGCUGUCCAGUCUUCGAGAUAUGUGGAGUCUGCUGCUGGCUUCGGUAUACUGCCAUCCAGAAAACCAAAUUUCUUCCGUGAGCUAAGCGCCAUACGGAAGUUAAUGGCCCAUUCAUCAUAGUUCGAACCGUUGAGUAGCGGCUGCGAAAUAACUGCACCAGGAUUAUCAUUGGCGCUGAGAUCAUAUGGGGUGAUUGUCUUGUAUUUUUGAUCGAUGUUGUUCGUUGCAAGUGCCAUCGUGUUGAGUAUCAAGAUGUUCUGUUCUGGUUACUUAGAAACAGAGUUCAAUCUAAACAAAGAGAGAGGGAUUCCCUUGCGAUUGCAAGAUGAAUCAGUAUUAAAAUAAAAAAAAAUCAAAAACACUCUUUAGGAUUUUCAAGCUCUGAUACCAUGACAAAUUAGGUUUCAAGGUUCUUGUCUUAUUCCACCGGCUCACGCUAAUAUAUAUAUCGUACAAUGUUAUCAACAAAAGGAAACAAUAUACACAAGAAGAUAUAUGGAAAGAUAUGGAGAAUAUACAUAGUUAUCUAUUACGAAUCAAGUAUCAAAUCAAUGAUGAUGCAUCCGCUACUUCAAAAAUUCAGCUAAGCUGAUUCGAUGACGACUCAGCUUGCCAAAUUUGUCCAACAUGGUGGGGGAGAACAACAUAUCCACUCCACCUUCUUACAUUUUAUGUGUAAGUUCAUUGAUUCAAUAUCUUAAAAAGGAUCAUGAUAUGUAUUCACGCAUGAUAUAUGAUAUAUCACAAUUAUAGAAAGUUUUAACUUGCACAUAAGGUAUUAGGAACGUAUUUAGAUUUGAAAGUCAUCAACAACCAUCAUUUUCAUGACAAAUCGUAUAUUUGGAACAGGUUAAGGUACAAAAUAAAACAAAAAGUCUUAACAUAUUACACUGAAGAUGGGGAAUAUAUUUCGUCAGGGACGGUUCACCGCAUAACAUGUUAUGCCUACGAUAUACACACUUAGUUAGGCUGUCGGGAAUUAAACUUUGUGGAAUUCGUCAGGUAUAUUCCCUAAUUAUUACUAUUAUUGUUCUACGUAGAGAUAGAGGUUCCAGGUGGGAAGAAUCACAUAAACUGCCAAAAAAUUAUCAACCACGACGUUGGCCAAAAGUUGUUUUGUUAUCAUUCUUCCACAUAUGAUCCGAUUCGGACGCAUUAUGCUUUUUCUAUUUAUUAUAUGUGCUAUGUGGACAUGUAUUCACAUUUCUAAUUAUAUUUCCAGCUUGAUUGAAGUUAUUUUUAAUUUCGUGGGUUCAAUAAUUCGUUGUAAUCUACACGGAUCCACUUGUGUUUUCCAAUAGAAUCUCACUAUCCCCAUUUGUUGGCUAAAUAUAAUAUUCGCUGGGCACCCUUUUUGAUGACUC